rfam:Myotis brandtii contig212775, whole genome shotgun sequence.
AGGCCGGGAAAGAGAGGCAGGGUCUGAUCCGCAGCCUCCGUGGCAGCUGUUGCUCAGCCGUUGCCUCUCUCUUUCUCUCCA